GACGAACGCUGGCGGCGUGCCUAAUACAUGCAAGUCGAACGCUUCUUUCCUCCCGAGUGCUUGCACUCAAUUGGAAAGAGGAGUGGCGGACGGGUGAGUAACACGUGGGUAACCUACCCAUCAGAGGGGGAUAACACUUGGAAACAGGUGCUAAUACCGCAUAACAGUUUAUGCCGCAUGGCAUAAGAGUGAAAGGCGCUUUCGGGUGUCGCUGAUGGAUGGACCCGCGGUGCAUUAGCUAGUUGGUGAGGUAACGGCUCACCAAGGCCACGAUGCAUAGCCGACCUGAGAGGGUGAUCGGCCACACUGGGACUGAGACACGGCCCAGACUCCUACGGGAGGCAGCAGUAGGGAAUCUUCGGCAAUGGACGAAAGUCUGACCGAGCAACGCCGCGUGAGUGAAGAAGGUUUUCGGAUCGUAAAACUCUGUUGUUAGAGAAGAACAAGGACGUUAGUAACUGAACGUCCCCUGAC
rnacentral:rRNA from 1 species